GAGAGAAGAAAGGGGAAUCGUCAAGGGGAAUAAGACUGGUUCAGAGUGCACUAAAGUCUCCAAACUGGAGAGAAGAAAAUGACCAUGGGAAAGAAACAUAGGCUUGAUGAAAACAGAGAAACUGGUUUUGCAUGAAACUUCCCAUGGCUUGAAGCAAGUCUCCAUGACGGUGUUUGCAUACCAUUGGGGUUUUAUUCCUCCCAUGCAAUACAUGCCAAUAAAGAUGAAGUGGCAUUCAGAUGACGUGAUAUGAAGGACAUCACUGCAGCCUGCAAAGCAGAGAAUGUUUGAACUAUGCGAAAGAGUCAUACCAGGAUUUCACAAUUACAGAGAAGGCCAAGAAAGACUACUAGUCAAGAAUGCAAGGUGAAUAACACUGUGCCUGCUCCAGUUCUCACGGGUACUGUAGCCUCCACUAAACUCCCAUUUCUCUGCACUCCGGUAGUACAUAUUAUCUGGACUACACAAUUCAGUCCUGCAUUAUAGUGUCCUUUAAAAAUUGCUUUGUGUGUUGUG